rnacentral:lncRNA from 1 species
AAAGAAUGCAUGCUGCAUGCUCAGUAGUUGUCUGGGAGGAUGCGAUAGAGAAUCCUCAGCCCUCCUGUUUAGAAAGGAGCUAAGCCUGGCACUUCUACCCUGAUUUAGAAGCCUCAUCUGUGCCCAUGCUGGCCUCAAGUGCAUUCUUCCUGGUGCUGACUGGAAAAUCCUCAUUUAAAUGGUUGAACAAAACAAUGAGAGAAGCCACAUCACUUAUAAGACCUUUUCAAGAGGUUUUUUUUUUUUUUUUUUUCUUCCAACAAGUACUGAGCAUUUGAUGUAAAUCUUGUCAGGAGCCACACACACCAACUUUCUGUGCUCAGGGACCAGUGCAGUCUGUGUGGACCAGAACCAUAUGAAGUGGACUCAGGAGAUAGUCUCCAAGCCUGUCUCCUCAGAGUGAGCAGGCUAGGCUUCAGAAGAGAUGGCGUCUUGCUUUCCUGCCCAGGCUGGUCUCGAACUACUGGGUUCAAGUGAUCCUUCUGCCUUGGCCUCCCGAAGUGUUGGGAUUACAGGCAUGAGCCAUCACGCCCAGCCAAAACAGCGUUUUUAAAGCACUUCCCAGGAAUAGCACAACCACUUUGGAAAUCAGUCUGCCAAUUUCUUAUAAAACUAAACAUUCAUCUACCCUAUAACCCAGAAAUUCCAUCCUUAGGAAUUCACUCAAGCAAAAUGAAAACAUAUGUUCAUAAAAAGUCUUGUACAAAUACGUUCAUAGCAGCUUCAUUCAUAAUAGCCCCCAAACCUGUGGUAUAUCCACACAAUGGAAUGCUAUUCAUCAAUAAAGAGAAACAAAAUAUUAAUAUGUGCAACAACAUGGAUGAAUUUAAAAAAUACUAUGCUGAAUAAAAGAAGCCUUAUACAAGGGUACAUACUACAUGGUUCUAUUUAUAUGGAGUUCUUAGAAUAAAGUUAAUCUAUGAUAGAAAAAAAUCAGAGCAGUGGUUGCCUCUGUGGGGUACGGGGUGGGGAAUGGCUGGGAAGGGGGAAGAGGGAAUUUCUGGGGUGAUGUUGAUAGGGAUUUGUACUAUAUCAAUGCAUGCCUCUGUCAAAAUUUACAGAAUAGUGUUUUUCAAAUUUGUG